rnacentral:rRNA from 1 species
GAUGAACGCUGGCGGCGUGCCUAAUACAUGCAAGUCGAGCGAACGGACGAGAAGCUUGCUUCUCUGAUGUUAGCGGCGGACGGGUGAGUAACACGUGGAUAACCUACCUAUAAGACUUGGAUAACUUCGGGAAACCGGAUCUAAUACCGGAUGAUAUUUUGAACCGCAUGGUUCAAAAGUUAAAGACGGUCUUGCUGUCACUUAUAGAUGGAUCCGCGCUGCAUUAGCUAGUUGGUAAGGUAACGGCUUACCAAGGCAACGAUGCAUAGCCGACCUGAGAGGGUGAUCGGCCACACUGGAACUGAGACACGGUCCAGACUCCUACGGGAGGCAGCAGUAGGGAAUCUUCCGCAAUGGGCGAAAGCCUGACGGAGCAACGCCGCGUGAGUGAUGAAGGUCUUCGGAUCGUAAAACUCUGUUAUUAGGGAAGAACAUAUGUGUAAGUAACUGUGCACAUCUUGACGGUACCUAAUCAGAAAGCCACGGCUAACUACGUG